rnacentral:lncRNA from 1 species
CGCGAUUCACGACAUGUUUAUAUUAUUAAUGUUCGAAGUUAUGGUCGGGUCACAUGAAAUGCAAACCCAAAUGAGAUUUACGUAUCGUGACCAUGCCACGGGAACCGUACCCAUAGCCACGAUGAUUUAUUAAUUGCGCCUAAAGUAUUUCUACGCAUAUUCAUACAUCGGCAACUUCAUUUGGAUUACUAUGUAAUAUAUGGUAGGAGUAUUUGUUGGUGGAACGGUUUGAUUAAUGACUGAAGUUAUAUAUACGCCCAUGUGAAUCAACAGGACUUUUCCUUAGCCUUAUUCUUAAAUUAAAAGUUGAAAGGAAGAAUCAGAAAUAUAGAGGGAUUUCAAUUUACAUCAAAAGCACAAGUAUAAUGAAUAUAGAAUCCUCCAGCAAAGCAAUAUGGGAAUGUAUUACUUUGCUAACUAUAUCUACUGUAUAGUGCUUGCCUGCGGACAAAAGGCAGAAAUUAGGGCAAUAAAUGGUUCAAUAUCAAAGACAGCCAACACUACUUGUGUAUGUAUACGGGGUUAUUUAACAGUUUUCAUGAAGCCAUGUCCAAGAAUCUCCUACUUCUUCUUCUGCCAUGAAAGCACUCAAGAAGAAAUAGAAAAAAUAAAAAAUAAAAGAAAUUUUCGGGAAAAAAAGAAAACAAAAGAAAUGGCGUAUACACCUUUCUUGUUGGCCUGUCUUUUUCCAAAUAUGAGCACUUUCCAUUAAUACCAGAAAACUUUUGUAAAGUACAACAAAAAAAAAACAAGAUAAAGACUUUGAUAAGGAAUAACCAAUAAAGUAAACAAAUAUGCUUGCUAGUACUAAAUGAAAAGGUGAAGCAUGAUUAGCAUUAAAGAGAAGAUAAUGAACCAUCCAUCUUAAUACAAAAUGACAAACAGACCUAAAGAACAAUAUUGGGUGGUUAAUUAACACCUUUAAUGGGAAUAUAUCAUUUCCCACUCGAAGUGCCACAUACCUAAUAUUCGUUGGCCUUUAAUUAAAUAGACUGAUAAAAUUUGGUAAGGCACGUAACUUGGGCUUUAUCGAGCUUUUAACAACAUUGCUGCUUGUAAUAAUAGCCAAUUUCAUGUCUUUUUGUGCUCCUUUUUAGUUUAGGACAAAAUGUUAAUACAACACAUCAAAGAGAAGAAGAAAGAAUCCAUGUCAAUUUCAUUUUAGUUCCCAGAUACAUAAAAUUUUCCCACCAAUAAACUACGCCAAAUCAUUCAAUAAGCAAACAAACAUAUAAUCAACAUUUAGACAGAUCUCGAGCAAGAAAGAGGAGUCCAAUCAUCAAUAAAUAUACCAAAAUACAACAGAGUUUUCUGAGUUUACCUCUUAACUAAAAAAUGCUACAUGAACAAAUUCCGGUACGGGACAACAGCGAAUCAGAACUCAGCUAUAGCAAUCGAGCAAAUCAAGCAGUCAGAGAGUAUUUCACAGCUCGAUAAGUCUUUGAAUUUCCAAAAAAAAAUCAACAUGGAUGAAUGGAAACUGAAAUAUCUUGGAAUCUCUAGAAAUAGGUUGGAAAUGAUGGAGGGGUGGCCGGCUAGGUCUUUUGAGUGUAGGAGAAGGAGGGGUCUGCUUUUCGUUGAAGAAAAGAGAGCUCUGGAGUGCUGUUUUUGCUCUCUUCUUCAAGGGGGAUGUCCCGUUAUUUUUUUUCUAGCUCUUCUGAUGUUAGGUUUUAGGGAUUUUAGGGAAAAUGGGAAAAGGGAAGAUUGAGUUGGGGUUUAAAAGUUAUUUUAGGCCAUUUUAGGAAUUGGCCCAAUUUUAAAAGAAACAAGACCAAAAAUAU